AAAAACAUCGCCUCUUGCCUUAAUGAAUAAGAGGUCACGCCUGCCCUGUGACUAUAUGUUUAACGGCCGCGGUAUUUUGACCGUGCAAAGGUAGCGCAAUCACUUGUCCUUUAAAUGUGGACCUGUAUGAAUGGCAUAACGAGGGCUUAGCUGUCUCCUUUCUCAAGUCAAUGAACUUGAUCUCCCCGUGCAGAAGCGGGGAUAGAACCAUAAGACGAGAAGACCCUAUGGAGCUUUAGACAAAAAACAGCCCCUGUCAAUAAACCCCAAAUAAAGGGAAUAAACCUAGUGAACCUGUUUUAAUGUCUUUGGUUGGGGCGACCGCGGGGUAACAAAAAACCCCCAUGUGGAAUGAAAACACCCUUUUUAAAACCAAGAGUCACCACUCUAAGUUACAGAACAUCUGACCAAUAAUGAUCCGGCUAAAGCCGAUUAACGAACCGAGUUACCCUAGGGAUAACAGCGCAAUCCUCUUUUAGAGUCCAUAUCGACAAGAGGGUUUACGACCUCGAUGUUGGAUCAGGACAUCCCAAUGGUGCAGCCGCUAUAAA
rnacentral:rRNA from 1 species